AAGUCGUAACAAGGUUUCCGUAGGUGAACCUGCGGAAGGAUCAUUACAAAUAUAUGGUUAACGCCAACAUUUCAUGUGCAACUUAUUGACGCUGCCAGAAUUUCGAAAAGUUUUUGGAUUUUUCGAUGCCUGGCAGCAAACCCGACCGCUUGAAUCAAUAAUGUACUUUAGUGAUUUAAUGCAUGAUACAAGCGGUCAGCGGUCUUUUACAACAUUAUAACAUCAGUCUUAUUUAUCCAUCAUCAGACAGUAGCAAUUCAGCGAAAUGUGAUGACAUAAAAGGGUUAAAAACUUUUAGCAACGGAUCUCUAGGCUCUC
rnacentral:misc_RNA from 1 species